GAAGAGGAGGGAGAGGACCGCUGCCUUCAUCGCUCUCACUUGGUCAUGAUAACCUUCACGCCAGCAUCAUCAGCAUCUCUCUAAUCCACAUUCCAGCCCUUUCCAUGGAGUUUUAAACCUGGAUUGUUUGAAAUUUUACGCAAUUUUACGCACGCUCCGUCUGCCCCGAGCCAUCUCUCUCAAGUUCUGUUGAAGCCUUGUCUGACACUGGAGAUUAAACCAUGGGGCGUGGACCGGCAGUGUUGUCAGUUAUGUCCUUCAAUCCAGGAAGUCGGCUCAAAGAAAACUCCCAGGCUGCACUUCUGAAUCACUGACAAAACACUUGAAGGAUCACCUUCAUUGUAGCACUCUCACCUGUCCACUUGAUAUAUACUUCAGAUAUUUAUAUAUUUGCUUCUACUUGACUGGAGGCUUGGAUAUCGUCCUUUAUCGACAUUUGAGGUGCUCGAGAGUAAAAAAAAUACACUGAUAUUUUAUGACUAUAAUAUGCGGAAUAUAAUAUCCAGCGGAUUCGUCUUAGAAAACAGUGCUAAUCAAAUGGUUUUGUCACUUUGAGAACCUUUAUCCGCUUCAAAUUGCCUCCUGGUGCUUUCUGUUAUCCUCGACAAUGAAUCCAAACAGCCUCCCUCGGCAAGUCAUCCUGCUGCUAAGUACUGUGCUGGGCCUGAGUGCGGGAUUAGAGUUUACUGGCUCAGAAGGUCAGUGGGCUCGGUACCUGCGCUGGGAUGCCAGCACCAGAAGUGACCUGACCUUUCAGUUCAAGACAUCCCAAUCAGAAGGCCUCAUUAUGUACUUUGACGACGGCGGAUAUUGCGACUUCUUACUCCUCACCAUGUCCAGGGGGAGGAUGCAGCUUCUCUUCAGCAUUGACUGCGCCGAAACCAGCAUCACGUCCGACAAGAUGGUCAACGACAGCCGUUGGCACUUUGCCGCCAUCAACAGGCAUAAUUUGCGGACCGGCUUGGCAGUGGACGGCCAGACCAAGACGGCAGAGGUGCGUCCUCAGCGGCAGUUCAUGAAGAUCGUGAGCGACCUCUUUCUCGGAGGGCUGCCAGGGGACAUACGGACAUCUGCCAUCACUCUGCCCUCUGUCCGUGAGCUUACACCAUUUAAGGGGAUCAUCACAGACCUCAGUUAUGGGAGUAAGCUGCCCACGCUCAUCAACAGCCAGAAAGUACGCUUGGAAAUGUUAGGCCUUUGCACCGAGAACCCGUGUGAGAAUGGUGGGAUCUGCUCGCUGGCAGAUGGAGAAACCUACUGUGACUGCUCCAGAACUGGAUUUGUAGGGCGAUACUGCACUGAAGCAGUCCAGAGAACAGCAGGCUUCGCACACCUAAAGGCAGAGCAAGGUAGAAGCAAAGCGAGGGAGGAGAACGUGGCCACCUUCCGAGGCUCUGAGUACUUCUGUUACGACCUGUCGCAGAACCCCAUCCAGAGCAGCAGCGACGAGAUCACACUGUCCUUCAAGACGUGGCAGCGUAACGGCCUCCUCCUCCACACUGGGAAAUCAGCAGACUAUGUCAACCUGGCGCUAAAAGAUGGAGCCGUUUCCCUCGUCAUCAAUCUGGGUUCCGGGGCCUUUGAGGCCAUCGUCGAGCCCGUCAAUGGAAAAUUCAAUGACAACGCCUGGCACGAUAUCAAAGUCACACGCAACCUGAGACAGCAAUCAGGCAUUGGACACGCUAUGGUAAACAAACUACAUUGUCUGGUGACUAUAUCCGUUGAUGGGAUCCUCACCACCACGGGCUACACCCAGGAAGACUACACCAUGCUGGGCUCAGAUGAUUUCUUCUAUGUGGGUGGGAGCCCCAGUACUGCAGACCUUCCUGGAUCUCCAGUCAGCAACAAUUUCAUGGGUUGCCUCAAGGAGGUGGUGUACAAAAACAAUGAUAUCCGCCUGGAGCUUUCCCGUCUGGCCCGGAUUGUGGAUCCUAAGAUGAAACUUCAAGGCGAUGUGGUCUUUAAGUGCGAAAACGUUCCCACCCUCGACCCCAUAAACUUCGAGACGCCCGACUCCUACCUGGCUCUGCCGAAAUGGAACACCAAACGCGUCGGGUCGAUCUCCUUCGACUUUCGAACCUCGGAGCCAAACGGCUUGAUACUUUUUACGCACGGCAAACCUCAGGAGCGACGUGACGCGAAGUCCCAGAAGACCAACAAGGUGGACUUCUUUGCCGUGGAGCUUCUGGAUGGAGUUUUGUACCUGGUGCUGGACAUGGGCUCCGGAACUAUCAAGGUCAAAGCGACACAGGUGAAAGUCAAUGAAGGCAGCUGGCACCAUGUGGACAUCCAGAGAGACGGUCGCUCAGGCAUCAUCUCUGUAAACAGCCGGCGGACGCCUUUCACAGCCAGUGGAGAAAAUGAGAUCUUGGACCUGGAGGGGGAUCUUUAUCUUGGUGGCCUUCCUGACAACCGUGCAGGGUUGGUGCUCCCCACCGAGCUCUGGACCGCUAUGCUGAACUAUGGUUACGUGGGCUGCAUCAGGGAUCUUUUCAUUGAUGGACGCAGCAAAGACAUCCGGCAGAUCGCUGUCUCACAAAACGCGACCGAUAUCAAGUCUUCCUGCAGUAAGGUGACAGGAAAACAUUGCGACAGCAACCCGUGCAAGAACAGCGGGGUCUGCAAGGAGGGAUGGAACCGCUUUAUCUGUGACUGUACAGGAACAGGAUUCUGGGACAGUAACUGUGAAAGAGAGGCGUCCAUCCUGUCGUACGACGGCAGCAUGUACAUGAAGGUGGUGAUCCCGACUGUGGUGCACACAGAAGCCGAGGACGUCUCACUUCGCUUCAUGUCCCAAAGGGCGUUCGGCCUGCUCAUGGCCGCCACAUCCCGCGAGUCAGCAGACACGCUGCGACUAGAGCUGGACAGCGGAAGGGUCAAACUGACGGUCAACUUAGACUGUGUCAGGAUAAACUGUAACACCAGCAAGGGUCCUGAGGUUCUCUAUGCUGGACAAAAGCUCAAUGACAACGAUUGGCACUCGGUGCGAGUUGUCCGCCGUGGUAAAAACUUCAAACUCAUUGUGGAUGACGACAUGGCCGAAGGCCAGAUGGCAGGCGAUCACACCCGGUUGGAGUUCAACAAUGUGGAGACCGGCAUCCUGACCGAGAGGCGCUUCGUCUCCUCUGCACCCUCCUCAUUUAUAGGACACCUUCAGAGCCUCAAGUUCAAUGGCAUGCAAUACAUCGACAUGUGCAAGAACGGGGACAUUGACUUCUGCGAGCUCAACGCCCGUUUUGGCAUGCGCUUCAUCAUCGCCGAUCCCGUGACCUUCAAGACCAAGGGCAGCUACCUGGGCUUGGCCACCCUGCAGGCGUACACCACAAUGCACCUCUUCUUUCAGUUCAAAACCACCUCUCCCGACGGCUUCAUCCUCUUUAACAGCGGCGACGGAAGCGACUUUAUCGCUGUGGAACUGGUCAAAGGGUUCAUCCACUACGUGUUUGACCUUGGGAACGGACCGAGUCUUUUGAAGGGGAACAGUGACAACCCGCUGAACGAUAACCAGUGGCACAAUGUGGUGAUCACGCGAGACGCUUCAAACACUCACACCCUCAAAGUGGACUCCAAGUCAGUCACCCAGAACGUCAACGGGGCAAAGAACCUUGAUUUGAAAGGUGAUCUCUUCAUCGGAGGUCUGGGACCCAACAUGUACCAGAACCUCCCGAAGCUGGUGGUUUCUCGUGAAGGCUUUCAGGGCUGUUUGGCCUCGGUUGACCUCAACGGUCGUCUGCCAGACCUCAUCAGCGAUGCCCUUUUCCGCAGUGGGCAGAUUGAACGGGGCUGCGAAGUUGGUUUCACCAAAGCCGACCUGCAAGGCCCCAGCACCACUUGCCAGGAGGAUUCCUGUGCCAACAUGGGCGUGUGCAUCCAGCAGUGGGAGAACUUCACCUGCGACUGCUCUAUGACGUCUUAUUCAGGGACGCAUUGCAACGACCCUGGCACCACCUACAUCUUCGGUAAAGGAGGGGGUCUGAUCACAUACACAUGGCCCAAUAAUGAAAGGCCCAGCACACGGACAGACAGACUGGCGGUAGGCUUCAGCACGACCAUCAAAGACGGCAUUCUGGUUCGCAUCGACAGCGCCCCGCGCCUGGGCGAUUACAUCAUGCUCCACAUUGAACAAGGGAAAAUAGGUGUGACCUUCAACAUCGGGACUGUGGACAUCAGCGUUAAGGAAUUGACGACAGCAGUAAAUGAUGGCAAAUACCAUUUGGUUCGAUUCACCAGAAACGGGGGCAACGCCACCUUACAGGUUGACAACUGGCCAAUCAAUGAGCAUUUCCCCUCAGGCAACAGCGACAUUGAGCGCUAUCAAAUGGCAAAUAAGAAAAUCCCGUUCAAAUAUACCCGGCCAGUAGAAGAUUGGCUUCAGGAGAAAGGCCGCCAGCUGACUAUCUUCAACACCCAAGCGACUAUUUCCAUCGGUGGAAAUGACCGGAAGCGGCCUUACCAGGGCCAGCUCUCAGGCCUCUACUACAAUGGCCUCAAGGUGCUCAACAUGGCCGCUGAAGGCCACGUCAACAUCAAGGUGAACGGCAGCGUGCGGCUGGUGGGGGACGUGCCGGCCAGUAGGGGUGCUGCACGCACCACCACCUCAGUGCCACCUGAGAUGUCCACCACCUUUAUCGAGACCACCACCACGCUGUCCACCACCACCACUCGCAAGCAGCGCUCGCCACCCACCAUCCAGACCACGGAUGACCUUGUUUCAUCAGCGGAGUGCUCCAGUGACGACGAGGACCUGGAAGAGUGCGAUUCCGGACAUACAGGUGGGAUGAGUGUGUCAAGUUGUGCUUGCUCGAGUCUAGUUCCCCCUCUCCCCGAAUGUUCUUUUAUUUGCUUCCGAGGAGCCUCUCCUCUUAGCAUCAUGUCCCAUUGGAGCUUCAAGUGUAACUUAGACGAGAUGGAAUAGAAAUGAAACCACCCUCUCGAGCCUUUCCCCACGAGAAUUUAGUAGGAUUUGGCAGGAAAAGUGAAAGACUGUAAUUCCUAGGAAAUGAACACAGUGGCAGCUACCUUGUCUUUGUGAAUGAACAUUAUGAAGUGGAACAAGAACGCAGGUUGAACAUGUGGGCCAUUCUCUGAUUUCUUCCUAUUUAGAUUAGACGGGACGGAAUCAGUUCCACAGUCAAGCUGUCGCCAUCAUAAGACGCUUAGCUGCCAGGCCGAGUGUAAACUGCUCAUGUUAAACUCCUAAAAAAAAAAAUAACUACACUUAGUGUUAUUACUAUUAUGAUUAUUAUUGUCAUUGUUACUAUUAUUAUUGCUAUAACAGUAGUAUUAUUAGCUUUGUUAUCAUUACAUGAUUAUCUUUGUCAUUAUUAUUGUUACUAUUACUGAUAUUUGUAUUAUCUUUAUUAUCAUUGUCAUUGUUACUAUUAUUAUUGUUAUUACUGCUACUAUUAUUACUAUUACUAAUAGUAUUACCUUUGGUUCGAUUAUUCUGAUUACUAUUAUUUAUGUGUGCUUUGCCACACCAGUACAACUUUUAUACAUAUCGAGAAAUUAUGCAACAAAGUUGUUUUUCCGGUUCUAUGGUCGUCAUCACUCUUUUCUCUCCACCAUUAUCCUUCCUGGGUGGUAUCGCAAAAAAACAAUGCUGUAGUUUUGAAUUGCUGAGCUAGCAUCAGUAGUAGUAGCAAUAAAAAUUGUUUUUAUUAUUAUUACAUUAUCGCUGUGAAAUAUUUAAGCCUAAAAAGUUCCUACUAACAAUGUCCUACUAAAUUCUUGUGAGAUGAUUUAGCUGUUUUGUGUGUGAGGCUCGAAUCUGAGUUCUUAGUUUCGGUUGACAUGCUUGGCACGCUCCCGCGAAGAAGUCGCACUUUUUCAACUGCAAAUAAACAUAUGCACACAACUUUUCAAAAGGAAAAAUAAAAAUAAAAAUCAGGACACGGUGAAAAGAAGUUACACUUAGCUAUGGGGCCGCUGCUUGCUGACAUGAUGAUGUGUUGAUACUAAUUUUGCUCUCUCAGCAUCGGGUGGAGAGGCAGCUUUACACAAAGUACAAAAUUAGUAUCAAGCCCCCAUGUCGCCCGCACUGAUGCUUCAAAAUGUAUCUGUCCUCUACUUUAGUUCCUCUUGCUGUGGGUGUGUCUCCUUUGACCGAGGAUACAUUUUGAGAUUGUUUGGAGAACAAAGAUGCUUUCAGCAUAGACACCGUGAUAUGUAGCAGACUAACUGCAACACAGCCUCCCUUACCUCCUCCUCUUCCUCCUUCUCUUGUUUGUAACUCUGUUUCCUUUCGUUGGAGGCUUGCCUUACCUGAAACAUUCUAAUAGAGAACAGAUAUCCUCGAAUUUCUGUGCACAUUGUCUCUCUUCCCUCCUCCCUACACACACACACACACACACACACAUUUAUGCACACAAACAUGCAAAAAAGAGUAAACGAGUCUUUGUGAUUCAAUCACAGUGAUAAGCCAGAGCUGGACAUUUUUGACGAAAUUUGGGUUUGGGUGAUUUAAUACCACAUUUAUGUUGUUUGCUGACUAAGAAAAUGUGUCCUGCGUCAUAUACAGUAUUAAAAGUGAAAUAAUGUCUUUGGAUAUAAUUGCUAUCCCAAGGGUGUCCUGGCAAAUAUAGAAGCAUAAACAAGACGAGCAAUGGAAGUACACAAUGUAUUGAAGGCAUCACGAGCAAGAUUUGAUUCAUUCAAACCCUCCCAGGGCCAAAUUGGGACAGGUUAUCUGUCCCUCUCCGUCACAGAUUCUACGACUACGACGAUCCCUGUGGUUACCGAAAAGACAGUCGUCCUUCACCACUUUGCACUUCGAAUUCGGCGGUGACGCUCUGUCACGGUUUUUCAAAAUGUACUAAUAAAUAACAUUUCAUGGUUGAAUAUUAAUUAAAAAUAUGCAUAUUUUUGGCCUAAAUUAAGCAUUUUGAGCAUACAAAUGCCUAGAUGAGCUAACAUACAAAUAUAAGGCAUUCAGAAGAUGCAUUCAAAGACAUUGUGAUGAUGUGUGAUGAUAUACUGUAAUAGCCACUUCAGGAAGUACUGUACAGAAACCGUAAAGUAAAAAAGGAACAAGGAAUUUUCCAAUGCUAACAUGUGUGAGUCUAUGUUAUGUCUCAGUUAUGCCUUAAAUGUCUUAUUUGAUCCUAGUAUGUCUACUAUCAUGGCUAGUAAGAGUGGUAAAGGUCGUUAUAGUUGUGUUAUUGCAUGUCUAGAGGGCGCUAAUCAUGUUAAAAACAGAGGUCAUCAACAGGUUUUGUAUGCGCUAUGAAAAUAUAUAAAGAAUAAAUAAGAAUCCUACUUCACAGAAAGGUAUUACAGUUGAUUCUGGCGAUAAAAGCACAGAGUCUCUCGCUUCAGAAACCACUGGAAUAAUGUUGAUAGUUCAAGACUUAUGGUAAUUUAAAAGUAGCAUUGCAAAUCACAUUGGCGGCUACAGCUUCGAUGUUAAAGGUUUAAAAAUAAAUUGGAAACGCCCGGUGGGCCGCAUUUAAAAGCUUAAAUGUACGUCGCCUGCAGGCUGUGGUUUGCCCGUGUCUGUGAUGGACACGUAAUGUAUGUGAGCCAGGUUGCUAUGACAAUAACAGGUUAAAGGGUUUGGAGCAAAGUCCUUGACAUUUCCAGAUGCUAUUUGAACACCACUGCUGCGUUUCGCUCCCAUUUCUCCCUAGUUUCCAUUUUGACAGCCAGGUGUCACUCCUCCACUUGUUUUUGGGAUCAUACCAACUAAUCAUAGUUUGUUUAUGAUAACGAGUCCUGCUAAAGAGGCGUUAGUAGUGUUUUCUUCCCAUGUACUUGGGACCACAUUUGAGAGUUUAUUUUCUUGCAGUGGUUGACUUUAAACCUCAAAGCCAAGUUUUGUCAAAAGUGUCCAAACAAUGUAAGAGGUUUGUACUGGUCCCCUCCCCUCAUAUAGCGCCAACAUACAGGACGUACUCCAACACACUCAUACGUACUGUACAUCUCACCAUGUUGACACAGAAAUUCAUAUCCUCAUUCCUUGACUCACGUCCAGUCGUUUGAGCAGUUGCAUGAUGACAUGAUGUUUGGUUUCUUUUCUGUUGUUUUGGUCUUUUUCCUGUGAUGCACAUGUGAACAUCUUCUGUGUCGAUUGAGGCCCAGCUGCUGGGUCACCUCAGAUUUUUGUUUUGUUUUUUGUUUUUUUUUUGGUUCGUGGUCUGGGUGGUUUGAGUAAGGGACGCGACUGGGGCUGUUUUGUUUUGUUGUGUUUUUUUCUUUAGUUUUCUUUGGUGUCGUCCUCAUCAUCCGUCGUCCAUCCUCCAAGCAAGGAUAGAGCUGCUAUUCCUCCCGUUUUUGCCUCAUCUUGUGCCGCAUGAACUUUUGGUGGUUGGAAAAUUCAAAGUUCUCCUCCUCAUCAAGUUUGUGUUGAUUUAUUAUUUUGUGCCAUAUGGCUUCUAAACAAACAUGCCCCCACCAAGCCACCCCCCUCCAUUUUUUUAAAACGUAGGGAAAGGCAACAAAAUCUUUUAUUGCCAUCAUCAUUUAUGUUUUUUUGGCCUUGUGCAGGCGACUCCAUUCUGUCUCAAGAAAGUUGUGUGUGAAAGAAUGACCCCCCCCCUUCCCCUCCCAAGUGUUAACCCCCUCCCACAUCCAUCCCGACUCACCCAUCUUCUUUGGUUCCGCCUCUGUUUGAAUGCAGAUGGCAUAAAAAGACUUUUAUUGCCACAAAGUAUAUCUGUUUUUCUAUUCUAUCUGUUGCUCCAAGUAGAAGGCAUUUGUGGCAUGUACCCCGUACUGGACUGUACUGCAGCUGUAGAACUAACGACCCCCACCCCUCCCCGUACCCCUCCCCUCCUCUACAUGCUACCUGCUUUUGCAUGAAUAUGAUUGGCCUCCAUUUUCUGUGCUGCUUCUUCUCCCUCACCCAUAAGCGUCUGCUGACUCCCAACCCCCCAGCUGGCUUGUGCAACAUGUCGGCAUGUGUUUUCAGGGGGACACAGCGGGGGGGCCUGCAGCGCCACCAAAGCUCCUCCCCUUGAGAUGUCUCGUGUCGAUGCUUGAACUUGUCGUCACAGUUCCGUCUGUGUGUUCUGUCUCCUGUGUGCGGGUAUAUCGUGGUUGUGUUGUCUGUGUGUUAUAUAAAAAUGUUCAACCCUCUUUGCCCUUUUAUCCCGUGUGGGUUCCACAGGAGAGCAAAUAAGGAGUCAUGACAUCCUCUGAUCACAAUCAAUACUGAGAGCAAUCUUGUCAUGUUUUGCUAUUUGAUUGAGCGUUAACCCAGUAUGCGAGGACGAUCAAUAAAGUCCUUUAUGAAACAAUAGAUAAGCUCACCUGGAGCAGUACGACAUACAAAAGCUAGAAGCCACAAUUAGCUUUAAUGUAAAAGUCACCAUGGGAGGUGCAAGGAGGGAGGUGGAAACAGGAAGGCGCCCAAAAAGGAACAAGAAAACCAACGGGGAGCAUGGGUUACACAAGUAGCUAGAGUCCAGAAACUGGCUGAAGUUCAACCUCAACAGAACCGUGAUUACCAGUAGCAAAAGGGUGCGAUCCAAGCUCCCUCAAACAAGAGUAACGGUGGCAAAAACAAAAUAAUGACAAAACGGAGAAAAAACAAACUAAGCUAACCUGUCAUGCGGAGCGGGACAAAUCUUAAAAAUAAUGUCACACCUUUCACUUUUUAAAUGAAACUUUUUUUUUUUAUUAAGGGAGAAAAAAAUCCAAACCUACAUGGUUCUGAGUGGGAAAAGUGAUUGUCCCCCAAACCUAAUAACUGGUUCGGCCACCCAUGAUUGUAGCAACUGCUUGCCCACUCAUCUUUGCAGAAUUGUCGUAAUUCAGCCACAUUGGAGGGUUUCCCAGCAUGAAGCGCCUUUUAAGGUCAUGUCACAGCAUCUUAAUAGGCCUCAGGUCAGGACUAGGGCACUCGUUUUUGUUAUGAAUUUGUUCCAAUGGGUCAGCCAAAAACCAAGGCCCUUUUUUCCAUCGGAAAUCGUGUCAAUCCAAUUAAUAUUCACAAAAAUGUUGUCUAUCUAACAAUGUGAAAUAAAAAAUAAUGACUUAUCCACGAUGCAGACUUCUCCUAAAUCUUGGCGAGACUGAAUUCAAUAGUGUUUCUCACCUUCUUUAUUAAAUUGGUGGCACUCACAACUUUAUUUGGCCUCAUGGCGGGUUAUUUAGCAGUCACACUCAAAUAAAUGCAAGGAGCGACGUGAGUUUGUUUGGGCACUUGAUUUCGCAGAACGAUACGGUACAGGGCAAACAGACUAGUUUGUUACGUGUAUUGUAUGAAAAUCAUACAAAAACUUGGGCACACGAAAGCCAAGGUUUGACUGUAACGGGAUGACAUUAAAAUACGUCCUUCAGAUGUGUUUUUCCAGAGAUUACUUCCAGAAUAUACCUUUUCCUCAAUGAUUAUUAAGUCUCUCUAUAAUUAGAGUCCCAAAAUAUUGAUAGAAAACCGUUCAUUUAUGAGGUGCUAUGUGCUACUGCAAACACUUGCAGUGAUUGACACGACAGACCUAAUUCAUCUGUUGGCUCGAUCCUUAAGAAGUAAUCCACCUACCAAUCACUGUGUUCUAAGCUGUGGUUGACCAAUGACACAACUACCCAAUCAUAAUGAUGGACAUACUGUAGACUUCGUCAAAGACUUCAUAAAGAGUGAGUGAGAUGCCAGUCACGGACCAGAAAGAGUUGCAUUCAAGUGAUGAAAUCCCAGAUAAUUUUGUAAUCCUUAAUUCCUCUUUGGCACCGCAAAGUGAACUUAAACGAUUGGAAUAAGUGACCAAUGAGACCUUCCUGUCUGCCAUCCUUUUGAUACAUUGCACCAGUGCAAAUGGAGAUGUGUGGUGAUCAUCUCGCUCCAUGCGCUAGGUGAAUGGAUCUGCUGCAGCGGGUCUUUGGACACAAUGCAGACAACCACAAUAGGAUUUCAACCCCCUCCCCCACAAAUGACUUACUCUUUCACAAUUUCCAGUGUUGAAAUCACAUUGACUCAGCCCAGCCUUGGGUCGGUACUCGCGCUCUAGCUUGCACGGUGUGUAUGUGUGGUAAAAUCCCUUCCGCACAGUCGGGAUUCAUCUCCAUUUGGAAGCCUCAGCAAAUGCAGGAUAGACCAGGAGAGAAGUGCUACUCUACACAUUUCUAAACUGCUGAGCUUGUCACUCAAUCAAGCAUGCAGAAGAAGACUUACUUAAUACCUCUUCAGAAGCCUGUAGGUAUAUGAAGUGAUUAUUUCCUUUCAAGGGUGAUGAGCAAAUGCAUGUAAAAUUCAGGCUGCAAUGCUCUCACUUCAUUUCCUCUCCUCUUUAGGAUUACUUUUUCCCGACUGAUAAAAGAGCUGUUGCUUAGAUGGUACCCAGACUUGCCUUUUUCUCUCUUUUAAAGUGAAAUGCAGAAUGAUUUGCGCCGAGGCAAAGGUUUCACCGGCUUGACAAGUGCAGAACACAAACAAAAUUUGGGUAGGCAAGCAAACGUCAGUGUUUGCCAGCAAGAUGUGAAAUGCUUGUGCAAGAGCUUACCCGGGAUUAAAGUGUUUACCAAAACCAACACUUAUUUGAAGCCCUUUUGACUGCAGCAGCAAAUGUUUUGUUGAUAUAACACAAAGCACACAACCGAGCGCUAACACAGCCAAGACAACAAGGACAGAGUUAGAUGAGUGACAAACUCAGUCACCUGUGAUGCUGCACAGUAGCUCGGUUCUACUCGUCUGGGUUUGGUUGUCGGUUUUCCACUUUAAAAAAAAAACAAAAAAUGUAGAGGGGACACAUUUUUGGCCCAUUUGAAACGAGAUAAUAUUAAAGGAUAACUUUUCAGCUUGUGGCUGGAGGUCACAGUAAGAAGACAAAUCUUAUUCAAGAGGGAGAAAAUGGAAACAGUAGCGUUUUAGACCGUACUAUCCACUGGCAAAAUACACCGUGUCAGGACUACCAUAAAUAAAACAUUUGUUUUUGUUUAGACGGACGUUUAAAGAGUGGUACUUUUAUUUGGAAUUGUGUGUCAAAUCCAGCCAGUGGUGACUCAUAUACAGUUCAACUGCAGCAAAAGGUUUUGACCGCUCUCGUAUUGCUUCUGUUGGCUGCCAUUUAGCUUCACUCAGCGUUUUAAACAAGCAAACAUCACGUACACACUGCCUGACCAAAAGAAUGUGACGCACUAAUAUUUACACAUUCACUACAAGCUACAAGCUUCACAAAGUCACAUUUAUUUUCUGAGUUGCAUUGACUUUGGACCAGGCUUUUGUAUAGAAGACGGGAGAUUCGGACCACUGCAACGUUUCCACACUGUCCUCCCACUUUUUAAUGAUGCGUCGGACAGUUCUUUGCUCGGUUUUAGUAGUUUCAGCGAUCUCCUUAGAUGUUUUCUCAUGCUUGACGCAUGGCGAUAAUUUGUCUCUUUCGACAUGGUUGCUCCUCACUGCAUUAGUAAGGGUUAAAUAACAUGUUGCCAGCUAAAAACAUAAUCAUCCAAUGGGAGAUGCCUGUCAAUAUGAAUCCAGGUCAUCAUAUUCUCCUCAGGUUAUCUUAGAAGAUGUUUUGCAGGCAGUUCAUGCUCAUGACAAGAUAUCCUCGAAGGUAGAGGCACUCUUUUGGGAUACAAAACGGCAGUCAUUAAGAUACAGGAGAGCCAACAACAGGCGUUAGGGUAGAAUCACCCCCAUCACAUAAUGACUGGCGUUGGAUGGCAGAUGUCUCACUCCACUGUAUGCGCACGACUGUUGUUUUGCAUCCCAAAAGAGUGACACCAUUCUUGGUAGCGCUGUCAUAUCCUGAACAGUCCGGCUGCAAUCGAUUCAAUGCCCUGAGAGCUCUUAUCUACGUGCUUAGCUUUUUUUCUUUGGCUCAGCAGUGUAGAUCCUGUAUCUACUUGCAACUGAUUAAAAUAGGCAGCCAGAAACAGCUGUCUGACUACGUCACAUUUAUUUAUUUGUCGCAUUGUCCACACACAUAUGCAGCAAAAAGCAAAUGUCAGCGUUGGAGAAAAAGCGAAAACAAAUAUGCACACUUUGGAGCGAGGCGUCGUACACAAGCAAACUACAUAUUUUCUUGUGAAGAUACUCUUAGAGCCAGUUUUGCGUACACGUCAACAGUUGCAUUUAAAUAAAUGGGACAUUUUUCCGGAAAAUGAGGGAAAUUCUGGUAUCUCCACCAGAAAUGUCUUCAAAGUUAAAAUACGGUAGUUUCCGUAUAAAGCUUGCAGAGGAUGAAGCCAAAACUCGAUACAAAUCGAUACAAAUCUCUCCACUAAGUGCCCCCUUGUGGAACUAACACCAACACACGUUCAUCUGUCUGACCAAGGCUGUUGGUUGCUCCUUAAUUAAUACUUCUACUACUUUGCUGGAUGACGCAAUUCAAUGCUUCCUUUGCCUGAGAGAACACCCUGCAGCCCUUGGUGACAGUGACCUUGUAGUGACCCCUCCACCCCUACAUAACCCCAGCUUGUUGUAGUGUUAUUAUGUUAUCUUACUCUCCCUAAAUGCAACUUACUUAAGCAUGCAUUAACCCAAUCAAAUACAGACAACUAUAGAAAAACGACAUAUAAGAAGUAGAUGGACCCUCUCCUGUCUGACGUACAUCCAGAUUGCACGCCCUGCCCUGUGUUUGACAAUACUAACAAGAGAAAUGUAUCCCACUAACUAAUAAUAAAGUCUUUAUUAUUAGUUAAAGGACGUACCUUUGGACCGUGUCCCCUAGUGUGUGCUUUCUGGUUGUUCAUCUUUGGUAUAGUGUGACAAAUUUAAUGCCUUUCUUGCUUGCUAAUCUGUUGAAGUUUUGUCCUUGAAUCGCAUGUAUGCUCCUCAACAUACAUGCGCACCUCUCUGUUUCUUUCUUGAAAAUGUGACAAUUAUCUGCUAAUUUGCUAAGAUUUCCAAUGUUUUGAUGAUUGUUUGUCCCGAAUUAGACUGAAGCGUUCCUCAUUUCUCUGCGAAUCCAUUAUCGAGACAAAAAAAAAAGAAAAGAGAAAUGGACGCGCCGAGAAAAGAGCGACCCCAAAGUUCUGAGCCACUAUGUGUGCAAAGUGUUUCAAUGCUUAUCUUUCCUGUCACUUGAUGCCUAUCUGGGACUGAAAUUGGGAUUAAAUCGCUUUGGUGCAUGGCAAAGAAGUUGCAACUUAGGGUUUGUAAAACUGUCAGUGCUGUUCUCUUCUGUCGAUGGGCAUGUAUAUGCUCAUUGUUUGUAUAUCCCCAUCCCUUCCUUACAGCCAAAAGCUCUAAUGCCGCCCGACCGCUUCGUGCCGCCUUUACAUGGACAUGGCAACUGAUGUACACGUUCACCCCCAUCUAUGUCAUCCCCUUCCUCGUAUGUUCAUAGGUCCCGCCCUCGUCUCACACCCCCACCGCUCCCCAACCCCUUAUGUAGACAUUCAAAGAUAUGUACAGUCAUCCUUUUGUUCAUCGCUAAUGAACAAGGUAGAUUAAAAGAAAGAGUCUGUACAUAUUUAUGGAGAAACGUAACAAGUUCAACAGUUUUUAUACUUAAUGAGCAUUAAAAAAUGGAUAUAAAUAUAUAUAUAGCCUGAACAGAAUGGUGAAGAUUAUUUUUCAUGUCAUGAUGUGUGGAUGUAUGUGUUGUUUCCUCCCUGUACCAUCCUGUCCAAAAAGAGACAUAUAUACAAAAAUUAACUGUUUCAAGUAACUAACCUGUCCAAAGGCAUUCUUACACAACUUUCUUUUGUAAACUUUUUUUUUCUUCCUGCCAAAAUCAUGCGGGCAAUUUGUUGAUGAGGGGAGCUAGUCAUCCCCAUUUUAGUGGAGGACCCCAUAGACAUCCCUUCUGUCUCCACCCGUUCUUCUUUCAUCCCCCUCCCCCCAACCCUCCACCCCCUCCUCACCAUUAUCGAGACCACCAAAGAAUCCUUGGCCAUGGCCAC